ACGCUCGACACCUACGUGAGGCAGCAGUCGGGAAUAUUGCGCAAUGGAGGAAACUCUGACGCAGUGACGCCGCGUAUAGGAAGAAGGUUUUCGGAUUGUAAACUAUUGUCGUUAGGGAAGAAAAAGGACAGUACCUAAGGAGGAAGCUCCGGCUAACUACGUGCCUGCAGCCGCGGUAAUCUGAGCGGGCUGGCAAGGC
rnacentral:rRNA from 1 species